rnacentral:rRNA from 1 species
GUCUCCUGUUAAACCCAACGGCCCGACGUUGGACUGCAGGAGAUACCGCAGGACUAGGAGGCGAGAGAGCGGACGGUACUCCAUGGGUAGGGGUAAAAUCUUUUGAUCCAUGGAAGACCACCAGUGGCGAAGGCGGUCCGCCAGAACGCGCUCGACGGUGAGGGAUGAAAGCUGGGGGAGCGAACCGGAUUAGAUACCCGGGUAGUCCCAGCUGUAAACGAUGCGAGCUAGGUGAUGGAAUGGCUGAGUGCCAUUCCGGUGCCGCAAGGAAGCCGUUAAGCUCGCCGCCUGGGGAGUACAGUCGCAAGACUGAAACUUAAAGGAAUUGGCGGGGGAGCACCACAAGGGGUGAAGCCUGCGGUUUAAUUGGAGUCAACGCCGGGAACCUUACCCAGGGAGACAGCAGGAUGAAGGUCAAGCUAAAGACUUUACCAGACAAGCUGAGAGGAGGUGCAUGGCCGUCGCCAGCUCGUGCCGUGAGGCGUCCUGUUAAGUCAGGCAACGAGCGAGACCCUUGCCGCUAGUUGCUAUCUCCAUCCGAAAGGACCGAGAAGCUAAUUAGCGGGACCGCCGCCGCUAAGGCGGAGGAAGGAAGGGGCCACGGCAGGUCAGUAUGCCCCGAAACCCUGGGGCCACACGCGGGCUGCAAUGGUAGGGACAAUGGGUUCCGACCCCGAAAGGGAGAGGCAAUCCCCAAACCCUACCCCAGUUGUGACUGAAGGCUGCAACCCG